GGUAUGCUCCACUCAUCUUCGCCUCCCCUCCUGCUAAGUCUUCAGCAGUCCUCUCACCCGAGCAAGACCGCUGGGUUCGUCAGUGCCUGCACGUGUGCGUUAAUUGGGUGCGGAGUUCAUUGCAACGUUUUAGUAUCCGUGUGUGAGUGUGUAUGUUUACAACCUUUAGAGUUGGUCUGCGUUAGAGAGAGUCUGUGGAUGUGAGCAUCUCUGGAGCAUCGUUUGUAUGAGAGGACAUGUGUGCAGAGUGAGAGGCAGUGGGAGGAUGCAGGGUGGGCAGGUGGUGUUGUGAUCGCCGGAGUUUUUGGUGUCAAGUCUUUGUGCAGUCCUCCUCCCCAUUUUUGUCUCUCGUCUGUCAGUACAUUGUAAGGGCAUCACACACAGCCUCCUGCUGGGAUGUCCACCUCACCUGGUACCAAAGACGGAAACCAAAGGCACUCCCUGGAGCUGGAUGCGGAUCACCCUCAGAGAGUGCCUGGAACGGAACAGGGAGCGGUUCCACCUCCUCAGGUCAGGCUAAAGGACAGACAGAAGUUGUUUGAGGAAGCCUUUCAACAAGACAUGGAGCAGUACCUGUCCACUGGCUACCUGCAGAUCGCAGAGAGGAGAGAGCCAACAGGAAGCAUGUCAUCCAUGGAGGUAAACGUGGACAUGCUGGAGCAGAUGGACCUGAUGGACAUGUCUGACCACGAGGCCCUGGAUGUGUUUCUUCACUCUGGAGGAGAGGACAACAGCGUUGCGUCACCUGUGACUGCUCCUGAUGUCGAGUCGUUCACCACAGAGAUCAGUCUCCAGGUUCCUACCCAGGCAGAGUUACGCCACAAGCUGUCUUCACUCUCCUCCACCUGCACUGACUCAGCCAGCCAGGACACAGAGGCUGGGGAGGAGGAGGAAGAGGAUGAGGAGGAGGAGACUGAGCAAGCUGGAAGAGGACGAGGAGGAAGAGGUGAUGGAGGAUCAGUAGAAGGAAUGAGAAGAAGGCCACCUGUGGUCGUGACCCAGGAUGAGGAGGAGGUGCAGCCUGACCCAGUGUUGGUAGACAGAGAGGACCAAGAGGGGCAGAGCAGCAAAGACUGUAAGGGGAGUAAGAUGAAGAAGUGAGGAGAGAAUGUAUGGAUUAUGACCAACAAAAGUAGUUGCUGAAGCAAAUAAAGAAAAUAGAAGAAAGAAGAAGAAACCAUUUUGGAUGAAGUGAUCUCAAGAACAGCAAACAUUGAACAAUUAGCACAAGGACUUGACAAGUGAUGAUUGUUUUUUGUUUUGUGUGAUAACUUUAUUGAUGGCUGAACCCCCAAAGCUUAUAAUAUUCUUCAUUAUUUGACAUGUACACAACAACCGUGGCAUUAAUAUUUAAUAAAAUCCCCAAUGGCCACAAACUUCAACCAAAUUUGUCCCUAAAGCUGACGGAGAUGUUUGGCUCACGUUCUCCAUAUCUGCACUACCAAUGUCAGCCACUAGAGGCCCGCAGUAUAUUGAUACUGUACAGGAGGGCCAAGCACGAUAACAGUUGCACUUAUACCAUAGUUUCAUGGGCUGCAUAGUAUACUAGAAAAGGUUUUGAAACCCCCCAAAUAUAAACCAACUCAAACAUCACUGAGCGAAAUUAACCACCAGGGUGGAAAAUACAACAGUUUUAAAAUGAGAGUUUUCCAUCUGGCAACACUGGAGCUUCAUAGUUGUCAUGUGUAUUGUAGUCUCUUGACAGUGGAUUUGACACCACAUGAUACUACAAAUGUGAAAUAUCGUACAUGUGCCAGAGUAGUAUAAAUUUACCUGAAACACACACAUGCAAGUGGGACCAAAUCAAUGUUUGGACUCUGUGCUAUGCACCGAAUAAAAUUUAGAAAGUUCAACCAUAUCCCAAUCUUUCCUUUUGUAUAAAACAGUUUUGAAUAUUGUGCAGUGUGACAUCAUUCCUUAUUAUGUAUCCCCCCCCCCUUCCUCCUGCUGGUAAUAAAUGUUGUCCAAUGUUCAUCUAAGCUUUUCUGAGACAAGUUCAAGACCAAAAUGUAAGCAGGGUUCUAGGGUUUGAGCCUGGUAAUGUUCCUCCUCUGAAUCACAGUCCUGUCUGAGCUCUCACCCUUGGAUGAGGUAAGUAAUAUAUUGAAAAAUGUUGGAGUGUUACUGUAUAUUUAGAGAGUGGAUGUGUCAGGUCACUGUGAAUGGUAAAUAUGUGUCUAGUGUAUGACUCAAUUAAGUACUUAAUAAUUAAUACAGACUACAGAAUGUACUUAAUACUAAUUAUGCAGACAACAGACUGUGCUUCUUAUAUGUAUAUCUAUAUAUAUAUAUAUAUAUAUAUCAGGCUACUGUCAGAAUCAGUGACUUUUUUCAAUAUCUUUAUCGUUAUUAUUCAUAAGGUGAUACAAAGUAUUCUGUUCGACAUCUGUGGAUUGUGGGAGCCUACAAUGAAUAGUGACGAGGUUUGUCGUCACUCUCGUGCAGUUACGUAGAGUGAUUUGAUUGGAUGGUCAAAAAACGCACUUCCUCGAAUCUAGGUAACUGCGUUUAGCCACUUUCCUCUUCUGUCGAGCGGAUAUUUUUUGCCAAAAGUGAAUUAAAACUACUUACUUACGACAGGACAGACUCAACUUCCUGUGUUAACGAGGCAACUCUGAACUCUUCUAAAGGAAAGAAGACGAAUUUCGUGUUGAACUAAUAAGAGGUUUGGGUCAGCCCGAUGGCACAGGGGUCAAGUAUCAGUGCUGCCAGCAGUCCCUGUGAAACUAUCAAAAUAAUAAGUUACUGAAGUCGAUACACCAAGACAAACAAAAACAGUAAUCCAUCAGCACCAAGAAUAAAAUAUGGACCUCCCUGCUACGAUUCAGGCACAGUUUUCACUUGCUAGCAAAGGAGGGGGCGCCUCCAUACGACCAGGAAGCGAGCAAUGACCCGUGGUGGGUCCAGCAGCUGCAGCUCUGCCUCAUCUCACGUCCACCGACGAAGAGAAACGUCCACACUGACAACAACAACAACAAAAA